AGUGAACGCUGGCGGUAGGCCUAACACAUGCAAGUCGAACGGCAGCACAGUAAGAGCUUGCUCUUACGGGUGGCGAGUGGCGGACGGGUGAGGAAUACAUCGGAAUCUACUUUUUCGUGGGGGAUAACGUAGGGAAACUUACGCUAAUACCGCAUACGACCUACGGGUGAAAGCAGGGGAUCUUCGGACCUUGCGCGAUUGAAUGAGCCGAUGUCGGAUUAGCUAGUUGGCGGGGUAAAGGCCCACCAAGGCGACGAUCCGUAGCUGGUCUGAGAGGAUGAUCAGCCACACUGGAACUGAGACACGGUCCAGACUCCUACGGGAGGCAGCAGUGGGGAAUAUUGGACAAUGGGCGCAAGCCUGAUCCAGCCACACCGCGUGGGUGAAGAAGGCCUUCGGGUUGUAAAGCCCUUUUGUUGGGAAAGAAAAGCAGCAGGUUAAUACCCCGCUGUUCUGACGGUACCCAAAGAAUAAGCACCGGCUAACUGCGU
rnacentral:rRNA from 1 species